CUGAUGCAGCGACGCCGCGUGCGGGAUGAAGGCCUUCGGGUUGUAAACCGCUUUCAGCAGGGACGAGGCGAAAGUGACGGUACCUGCAGAAGAAGCCCCGGCUAACUACGUGCCAGCAGCCGCGGUAAUACGUAGGGGGCAAGCGUUAUCCGGAUUCAUUGGGCGUAAAGCGCGCGUAGGCUGCCCAGUAGGUCGAGAGUUAAAUCCGGGGGCUCAACCCCCGUCCGCUCCCGAUACCGCUGGGAUUCGAGUCUGGUAGGGGAAGGUGGAAUUCCCAGUGUAGCGGUGGAAUGCGCAGAUAUUGGGAAGAACACCGGUGGCGAAGGCGGCCUUCUGGGCCAUGACUGACGCUGAGGCGCGAAAGCUAGGGGAGCGAACAGGAUUAGAUACCCUGGUAGUCCUAGCCGUAAACGAUGGGGCACUAGGUGUGGGGAGGUUUUACUUUUCCGUGCCGACGCCUAACGC
rnacentral:rRNA from 1 species